rnacentral:lncRNA from 1 species
CUAAGGUCCCGGGAACCAAGAAUACUGAUUGUGAAUUCACAGUGCCCACAUAACCAGCAGGAAAAAAACCCCCAAAUUUGUUAAACAACCAGUUGGUUUUUUUUUUCUAAAUGAUGUAAAAAUCCCGAGUUAACUUCGUGCUACUUCCUUGGAGCAUGGAGAGCGUCGGUCACUCGGCGCAAUGUCAUGUGGCUGAGGGCGCGGCAGCCGUGAUUCGGGCUUUGAGCCAUGAAUGAAGACCUUCAGGGAAGACGUGCGUUCCCUGCUCUGUGGAGCAGAGCGUUGCCAGCGCUUGCAGUGAUGCAGCAGGUGGGGGUUUGGGAGAGUUAUUUCCCCCGCCCCAGGAAGGGUGGUGAGCUCAGAGCCCAGCGCUGAACCAUCCAAAGGCAUCCUGCAGGGUGGCAAGGGGCCAAGAUGGUCCAGGCAGAAGGAGGGAGGACAGAGCAGGCUUGGGGGACACUAGGAGAUGGGCUUGGUGUCUGGCAAGUGCGGGGUCCAUGGGAGGUGCUAGGGAGCGAGGUUGGUGAAGACACAGGGACUUGAGAUCAUGGAAGAACUUGCAAGACACACUAAGGACUGUGGACUUUAGCCUGAGGGAUUCAGCGGGCGACCCAUGCACUUGAACCACCAGGACGCUGUCUCUGAGAUGAGCAACUCGUGGGCUGUAGCACUGACACUGGGAGAACUUCAUUAACUCUGCCCAGAGCCUGGUGAGCGCCCGGCGAUCCAUGGACCACGAGGAGUAAAUCACCCUGCCCCUCGACCCUGGGGUCUUACCUCUGCAGAGAUUGUGAGGUUAAACGGAUUGGGAAACAUGAUUGGAAAUUAGAAUUCGAAAGCAAUAUUGGUGCAGCUAUACCCUCAGACACGGCGGUGGCCACUCAUUUAUUUCAUUUAACAAAAUUUAUUUUGUUCGGUGGUUUCUCAACUAGACAAAGUGUCUGGAGACAUUUUUGGUCAUCAAAACCGGAGUGGGGGUGCUACUGGCAUUGCAUCUACUGGGUAGAGACCAGGAGUGCUGCUCAGCAUCCUGCAGGGCACAGGGCAGCCCCCCAACAAUUAUCCGGCCCCAAAUGUCAAUAAUGCUGAGCCUGGGAAACCUUGAUUCAGGGCCUGGUAGCUUCUGGACAUCGUGCCAAUUCCUGGGAAUAUUGAGGGAAAUUGGACUUAACUGGUGAUCUUGAAGAGCUUGUGAGCUACAGCAAGGACAGAGUUGCGUACACACAGCUAGAGGUCACUGAAGAGCUGCGGGCUUGAGUUUCUAGAAACAGGAGCACCUCCCCUUGAGCCCAUGCAUGGACUAGGGUGUUUGCUUUGCCUUUUCUCACGUGAAAAAACAAGCCACGUCCUUCCUGCCUCGCUGGGCCAGCUCCUCUUUCAGCCUGCAUGAAGGGAGACCAGCGAGGGCAAGUUGGAACGGGAAAAAAAAUUCCAGGGGAAAACAGCCAAGAAAAGAGAGGCCGAAUUUAGAGUGCUGUAGCUGUCCUUUAACUUGAUUUCUAAAUCACAUUUUAUCUGGAGAGGCAGGCAAGGACAUUGACUUAGUUUUUUGCAACCCAUGAGUUCUAGGUUAAAGCUGACACAUAGGAGGGGCUUGAUAAUCAUUUGUUGAGUUAGUUUGCAAUCUGGUCUUGCAUGAACUCUCCUACUCUCUCUGCUUGGUGCCCUCUCAGGGGGAAUAUUUUUACCAUGUCCAAGGUUUCCAGAUGGUGGUGUACCUCAUCCUACAGGGAGCAUGCCAUCACCAUCGAGAAGCAUCCUCUGAUGCUCUCAGCAACGCAUCCUCACGCUCCCUUUGGCCUGCUGUUGCCGUCAGGCUAGUUACUGAAGUCCCUGCUUCCUGCUGACUUUGUCGUGCUGUGGAGAGCGGGCUGCAGCUGCACUGCCAGCCGGGACCCUGACAGCUUCCCAGAUGUCUGUGCUCCAAGGACCAGGGUCCCUCCGAGGCUUGAAUGCCCCACUGCAAGGGCUCCUGCAAACUCAAGUCUGCAGCCACCUGUCUGAGACCACACUGGUUUCAGAGUCAUUUGCUGGCACUGAGUCACAGUGGCAGGUAGAGUGACAAGAUGGGGGAAGUGCAGUUGGACCCGGGGCCCAAACUGAGGCAAAAGAGUGACAUGAAUGGGGAAGAAGAUGUAAAAAUUCCUGCACGCUGGAGAAAGAUUAUGCUGGCGGACCCGCUGGGUUCCCACUGAGCACAGUUGUAAUUGGAAUGUACUCUGCAAAGUUUAUUGGGUCCUGGAGCGACUUGUUACUGAACUGGUCAAUUAAUCUAUUUUUUUGUUUUUUAAUGAGUUAGGGGAUUUCCUUUAGCAGAAAAUCACCAGGAAGCAUGACCGAAUGCCCAGAGCUCAGGGAAAGGCUGGCCUUUCCUUCUAGAAAACUCUAUUCGACAAUUAAAGCAGGAAAUGGACUCCUCCUGCUACAGGUGGCGAUUGGACUGGGCUGGGAACCAAAGAGCAAGGAUCAAUCCUGCACAGAGGCAUAGAACAAAAGAAAAUCCAAUCGCCUGCAGCAUGGUGAUCCCAUCUGGACGACUCUGAGGCUUCCCGGGCCUUCCUUGAGGAAGAAAAUGUGUGUCACCUAUCUGGCCACUGAGAGCAUGAGCUGGGCAGGUUAGUAUAUACUAUGUGGCUUGUUUUAAGUGAAAAGUCCCGUAAAUUGGAACACAUUUAUUAUUUAUGGCAGUAGAAGGCUUCCCUUCGCACGCUCUAGCAGUACCCUGAUGACACAAGAUCGGAAGCUGAAUUUAGAAUAAACGUUCCUCUCCGUGCCUGCAGCCACGACCUGCUGUCCUUUUGGGAUGUUCCAUGUGGAGUGUUGCUUGACGGAACCUCGGGUCUUCCUUUUCAUUGCAUUUUAACUUUGCUGCUUCUAGAAUCAGUGGAAGUGGCCAGACCUGAAAGCUCUUACAUUAUGUAUCCAAAGAAAGAUUUUGGGGACCUACUAAUUCUCAACCACUUCAGCGGGCAAGAGGAGAGCCUGGAAACAAAUGGGUUUGGCGAGC